GGAAUUUUCUCCUCACUACCUCCUCAGGUGGCUUCAGUGCUCCACAGCAAAAACAGCAGAAGCAGCAGCAACAGCAACAGGUGAGGCACCCUUCUGAAGCUCCAACACUGCAUAGAGGGUCGUCCCACUUUUGGACAGCUGGCGGGCUGCUUUAUCCACGUGAGCCAUGAUCUGGGUCAGAAGAGAAGCAGCAUUCGUGAGAACUUCCCCAGCUCUGCAAUAUUCUGGUUCUUCUCCUCUUCCAUCUUCGCUUCCACAACCUUGAAGCACCCCAGUUAAAGGAUUUCCAUAUCACAAUGACUGUUGUCCUAGCCUCCUGACUGUUCUCCCUACUGCCACUCUCAUCCUGGAUACUACUUCCAGAUCAAUGUUCAUAAAGCAGAGCUUCCAUCAUUACCACUCCUUUGGUCAUAGCCUCCGGGAUGCAAAAUAACCUUUAAAAUCUGACAAUGAACUCUACAACCUGAUUCUAACUUACCCCUCCACACUUACUAUCUACUGUUGCCCUAAAGUGAACUUUCCAUAACAAUCAAACUGGUCUUUUUCCUCCCUAAUUAUUCCUGUUCUUUCUCACCCUCUAUACCAUUGCUCCCACACAAUUUCCCCUCAUGAAUUGUCCUUUUUCAUUAAUCAGUUCACUUACUCAACAAAUAUCUAUUAAGCACUACUGUAUGCCUAGUACCUUGUAAACAAUGAUAAUUUGUCAAACUCUUUUCUGUUAUAGAUUAUAGCCUAGUAUGGAAGACAGACAUUCAUUAAUAUCUUCAACAAAUAUUUAUUGGGUGCUGUCAUUGGUGCCAGACACUGUUCUAGGUGCUGGGGAUACAGCAGCAUACAAAACAGAAAACUUUGUACCAUCGUGGCGCUUAUAUUCAGGUGGGAGAAGAUAGACAGUAAAUAAAAUAAGUAAAAUAUAUAAUGUGUUGGGUGAUAAUAAUGGCUAUGGAGAAACAUAGAACAAGGGGCAGAGAUAGAGAAUUGUUGAAGGGAGGUUGCAGUUGUUAAAAAGGAUAAGCAGAGAGGGCCUGAGAAGGUGAUAUUUGAGCCAAAACCUGAAGCGGGUCCUCAGAUGGGUUGUGGAGACAUCUGGCAGAAUGUGUUACAGGUAGAGAGACGAGUAAAUGUAAAGGUCCUGGGGUGGGAACAUGCCCGGUGUGUUGUCGAACCUGUAGCUGGAGUGAGGUAGGAGUAAUAAGAAAUGCAAUCAGAGGGGGCUAAAUUGUAGGGCUUUGGAGGCCAGUGGAAGGCCUGUGGCUGACAGUGAGUGAGAUGGGGAGUGACGAAAUCUGGCCUAUGUUGCCUAGUCACUGGAUUGAGAAUAGGCUCUAGGGCAAUAAGGGUAGAAAAAGGAAGACAACCUAGGAAGCUACUGCAAUUACCAAGACUGAUGAUGGUGGUUUGGACAGGGUGGGAGCAGGAUUUGUUGACAGAUUGGAUGUAGGGUGAAAAUAGAGGAGUGAAGAAUGACUCUAACUAAGGUUUCUGUCCUGAGCAAAUGGAAGGAUGGAGUUACCAUGUUCCGACAUGGGAGGACUGGCUGAAAGAGAAGGUUUGGGAUGAGGGUGAUGGUCAGGAGUUGUUUUAGACUAAUGAACCUUGAGAUGCCUAUUAGACAUUAAAGAAGAGAGGUCAACAUUUCAGUAUUUGAGUUUGGAGUUCAAGUGAGAGAUCUGAGAAUCAUCAUCAUAUAGAUCCUUUUUUUUUAAAGUUUCUUUUAGUAGAAAAUUUCAAACACAUACAAAAAUAGAAUUGUACAAUAAACCCCCAUAUACCCAUUGCUUAGCUUCAAACCAUUGCUUUCUGCUGUUUCUAGAUAGUAUUUAAAGCCUUGAGACUGGAUGAUAUCUGUAGAAAGGUAAGAGAAGAGGGUGAUCAAAUCCUGGACUACCCCAGCAUUGAAAGGUUGAGCAGAUAAGGAGGAACCAGCAAAGGAGAAUGAAAACAAGCAGUCAGUGAAGUAGAAGGAAAACCAGAUUAUGGUAUCCUGGGAGCCAAAUGAAGAAACAAUUACCAAAUAAUUUAAUUACAGUAUGAUAAGUGCUAAGGAAGAAAAAGAAGUGUGCAAUGAGAAUGUAUAACAUGAGAAUUAACCUAGUUUGGGGGUCAGGAAAGGCCUCCCUGAGGUGGUGACAUGUAAGCUCCAGCCCUCCUUCAUCCUCUCCAUCUUCAGCUAAAAUCCUACUUCCUCCAUCCUGCUUCCACUCUGAAAACCGGCCCCUCCUUUCUGGGAUGGCUUUAGCGAGGCGAUGUGUCAGCCACUAGGGGGCGCUUGGGAAACAGCGAUGAGAAAGACAAUUCCUGCCUUCAGGGAGCUUGUGCUCUAGUGACAAGACAGAUAAGCAAAUGAUUUCCUAACAAUGUGGGGAGUGCUACCAUCUCAUAAGCACAGUGGGUGUUGAAAGCACUAGGUAGGGGCACAUAGCCCAGCUGGGGGGAGCCAGGAAAGGCUCCCUGGAGGUAACACCUGAGCAGAGAAUGGAGAGCAUACCCUUCAAGUGUUAACCCUUGCCCACACACGUGGAUUCCAAAUCGUGCCUGCGAUAUCUAGCCUAGCCUAUAUCCUGACCUCAACACUGGGCCUUGCUCUCCUUCUCUCCCAAGAUGAACUUGUCCAGCCUGGGUUCCCCCGAAGUCCCCUUCUGACCUGCUCUGCCAUCCUCUGUCCUGUCCUCCUGGGAACAUUCGGGGCUUCCUGCCUCCAUCACACCUUUGAGACUAAGAGUGGCCUAAGGACUCUCUUUAGGGAAGAUUGAUACCUGAGGCAGGACAGGACAGGAAGUAAGAGCAUGUGGGUAAGUCAGUAGCAACAAAACAGAAAAGCAGAAUAGAAAUCUCUUGUGAUCAACUUAAAGUGAGGAAGGUAGGGAACACAUCUAUCUUGUUUAUCAGCAAUCCCCAGCUGUGCUAGCAAGGUGCAUGACAGGAAAUAAGUGUUCACAAUAUUGAAUGAAUAGUUCUUACAAGACUACAGUUCCAUAUAGCGCACCAGCCGUAAACUGUCCUUCCUUCUAACUGCUGCAUAAUUUUCCUAGCCCCUAGUCAGGUGCAGAAUGCCUUCCUCGGCCCCGGCAUUCAAGAGGAUCCUUUGCAAAGAUUUUCACACGGCCACUUAAGUGGCUCUUUGAGAAACAGGUGCAAGCAGUCUGUUUUGCUGCCAGGCUUUUCUUGCAUACAUUUCCAAACAAAGGCAACUGUUGGUAUUCUCCCUGCCGACGUCCCCGGCUUCCCAGGGAGCCUCAGCGAAGGGCAGCCCUGUAAUCUGUCUGCUCCGAUGCCCCUUUCCCUUCCCUGCUUGCUCGCUCCCAACCCGGUGGCGGGGCGGGCACGUGCCAGCGUCUGCCCCCCUCCGGGGUACCCGGGGCUGCUGUCCGCUCGCUCGCUGUGGACUGCCCAGGAAGGGAAAUCCCAGAGGAAGCCAUUGUUGUUACUAUCACGUCCCUUCUUGUCAUCGCUGAGGCGUGCCUUAAGAAGCCCCGUCCCCGCAUAGGACCCUGAGGUUUCUUCCCAUUGGGGCUCGUCUGCUCUAACCACUUCGGACGAGGCUACCGCAUCCGAGCCCUGGAGUGCAUGGUGGCCCCUCGCGUCCUAGCUCCGAGGCUGUUGGAGUACGGGAAGCCCCAGGAAGUGCAGAGCUUCGAAAACCGACGGCGCCAGGCAGGACGUGUCCCAGGCACUGGCAUAGGAGGGCAGGGACAGGAGUUCCACGCCGGCUCUGCCACGGACCUACAAGAAUGUCACAGCUUGGAGUGCACAAUCCAGCCACCAUUCCCUCUUCGUUCUACAGUAGCGGUAGGUGUGAGGGACAGAGAGCAUUGAGCAUUUGAAGCUUCAGCUCCAGGCCCGGCCACCAACUUUGCUCCAGGUCACUCCUUUCUCUGGGCUUCAGUGAAAAUGAGGCAAAAUGAGGUAA